AGAGUUACGUCAUUAUCCAAAUGAAGCCAAACAUCCUCGAAAUGCUGUUAUUGCUGUGGUGAUACUAUUUGGAUGUGUGUUUUUGUUUUCAUCAGGUUUGAUUCUAACCUUUUACUUAAGAAGGAAAGCAGCCUCUGCAGUCACACCUCAUGAUGACCAGAGACAUGGAGACAUAUUCAAGAUAUGGAACUUCGAUGGAAACAUCGCCCAUCAACACAUCAUCCAAGCAACAGCAGACUUCGAUUUCGGGUACUGCAUCGGAACUGGAGCUUACGGGAGCGUCUACAGAGCUCAACUGCCAACUGGAAAAGUCGUUGCUGUCAAAAAGCUUCACAGAUUCGAAGGAGAGAAUCCUAGUUACGACAUGUGUUUCAGGAAUGAGGCAAGGGUGCUCUCUGAGAUUCGCCAUCGCCAUAUUGUCAAGCUUUUCGGUUAUUGCCUGCACAAGCGGAGCAUGUUCCUCAUCUACGACUACAUGGAAAGAGGAAGCCUGUUUAGUGUGUUGAAGGACGAGAGCGAAGCCGUGGAGUUAGAUUGGAAGAAGAGGGUGAAUGUGGUGAAGGGCAUUGCAAAUGCACUAUCUUACAUGCAUCACGAUUGCACGCCGCCAAUUCUGCAUAGAGACAUUUCGAGCAGCAACAUCCUCUUGAAUUCACAGUUUGAAGGUUGUUUAUCUGAUUUCGGAACAGCUAGAUUGUUGGAUCCAGACUCAUCCAAUCGGACUCUACUAGUCGGAACUCGCGGCUAUAUCGCGCCAGGUAUCGAUAAACACAACUUGGAUGAAUUAAUACACAUUUUCCCCCCAUCAAUUUUCAUGAUAGAUAUGUUUGCUGCUUGCAGAACUAGCCUUUACCAUGGUGGUUACAGAGAAAUGUGAUGUGUACAGCUUCGGAGUUCUGGCACUGGAAAUCGUGUGUGGGGACCACCCAGGGGAUUUCGUAUCCUCCGUGACCACGAUGAAGGGAUCAUCCUCAUUCGCACAGUUUGCUCAAAACUUGAUGGUGCAACAACUCCUGGACAAGAGACUAGCAUCUCCAGAUGAAGAUGUAAGAGUGUCCCGGGAAAUCGUUGGAGUGGUGAAAAUAGCUCUCAAAUGCGUAAGUUCUGAUCCGAAAUCGCGGCCGUCUAUGAAGGAGGUGUCUCAGGAACUCGCUGCGAACCCGCCACGCUUGUCGAUGCCCUUUCGCUCCAUAUCAGUGCUGCAGCUGAUGCAUUCAGAUUGAGCUCACAACUGCUUUUUUUUAACUAAUAAGCUUAAAGAUAGAUGUUGAAGUGCUUAUGAUACAUACUAGUACUAGGUUUGUUAAGGGUGUCCUCAACUGAACUGGAUCAAAAUAUUGAAAACUUGUUCACACUGGAUGGUGCUGAAGGUGAUAUUGAUCAUUAUUAUGAGUAUCUAUCUUUGAGUUGGAUGUUUUUCUUGUAAUGGUAGUGGCAGGCAUCUUGUCUUUGUCUUCAACUUUUCUCCAUUGUUCUUGUUUACUUUUUGGGUUCUGGAUUUGAGUUUUGAAUGACUUCAAAGGACCUGGUUUUGAGCCACUUGAUGAUAUAUAGUAAUUCAUACUUAUAUGAAAUAAGAUCACAUUCUAGAAUUGUCAAAAUCCUUGUCUAUAUUCAAUAAUAUGACAAUGUAUACCUACCCGAGUUUCGUCUACGGCUCGAUGACGAUUUUCCCGGUGGCGUGGCCGUCGAUGCUCUUCGUCCAAGCGUUGCCGGCCUUGGUUCUCGAGUCGAUGACCAUCUUGAGCUUCCCUUGUCUCACUAAAUCAACAAGAUACCCUUUUACUCGCCUUGGGGAUGAGGAGCUAUAUUGAUGGUUGUGAUGAUGGCUCGCCAACAUAUGAAAUCAAAUUUCAAUGAACCUUAAAAUAUAAGAACUGUAUAGAGUUGAAAAAAAUAUAAAUACAUGAAUUUAAUCGUAACCUGCUAUCUUCUUCCCCUUCUUAGUCAUUGUCCCUACAAACAUUAAAAUAUAAUAAAUUUAUUGUAACACCAUACCCCACAUUUCAAACGAAUAUAAUAGGAAAUUCAUGGGGGGACCAUAUGCACAUACAAUAAUACUUGAAAGUACCAUCUAAUACUGUCAAAAAGUUAUACUUUUAAUAAUUUUCUACUCAAUAUAAACCUUGAUUUGUCGAUUUCAUAACCAUUUCAUAAAGUAUUGAGCGACCUUGCUCUGCCUAUUUCUUAAACUAUUCAGAAUAACUCAACAAACAAGAACAAACAGAAAUUAAAACCCUAACUAUCUACUCGGAUGAAUCGCAGAUAUAUUGUAUAUUAAUCGCCAUUGUGAUACCAAAAGAAGUUUCCGAUUUGACAGGAGUUUCGUAUGAAUUUUCGAAUAAACAGAUGAACUAAAUCAAACAAAUGAACCCUAACUACUUACUCGAUGAUCGCCGGUGAAAAUAGAAAAAUGUCGCUGCAAAUGGACUUCAAGCGCCGUCUGGUAUAGAUGAAGCGCCGCCUGGUAGAGAAGAAUCGCCUUCGCCUCUAGGGUUCUCAGUCAACGAUGGGUUGGUAGACGAAAGUGGGGGGAAGAUGGUAUAGUAAAUGUCCUAAUUUACUGGAGUUAAUUUAGGAAUUGACAGUUUUCUAAAUAGACAAAAGGUCUAAUAUACCCCCAACGUUUUUUUAUAUGAUUUUUUAAGUUAUUCAGUAAAUUACAAAUGUAGAUUAAUUAUUAAAUAGUUUUAAUCUGGACCAUUAAUUUAUUCAGAUCCUAUGGUUAGGAUUAAUUCCUUAUUCUUUAUACUAAGGGAAUUCUUUGUAGAUCCCCACGGUCCCACCCCCUAUAGAGAGAGAGAGAGAGAGAAUGGCAAAUUUUUGUGACACCUAAGAACUAAUCCUAUCCAUUGAUUGUGUGAAUCCAACGGCUGGCACAUGAUUACAUUUUCAGCCUAUAAAGUUGGCGAUAAAGGGCAGCAUUGUAUUUCCUCAAUUCUCAAAUCCGUUACUUUCCUUAUUUCAUGCAAGGUAAUAUCCAUAAUUAUGGUAUUUUAGAUUUUGGUCAAACAAACAUAUCAUCUAUUACCCACUAACUCACGUUUUUAGUGAAAUUGCAUAUCUUGGUGGUUUUAUCUUUUAGCCAUCAAGAAUCGAUUUGCCAAAAAUUUUGAAGCCAUUUUACAUUCUGUACCCCACGUCUCUUUUUUGGCAUAACAAUCAUCCGCAGAGCUUCGAUUCUUUUCUCCUCAAUUCCAACAAUGUCUGACGAAAGUUAGUAAUCGGUUGUUCAUGUGUUAAUUCCAUUGACAUUUGUUGCUUAAUUAUACGCCGAUCUCAGUUUUCAUUUAUAUUUUGUAAAUGGUUUUGUAUUCAGCACUUGAAUUGAGAUAGUUUGUUUAAAUAGAGACGAAGCUGAUAUGUUAUGUGUUUUAAAUUGAUGAUUUUUAGUAGUGUGAAUACAUAAUUUAUAUUUCUGUUCAGUUGAAUAGUCUUAUUCAAGUCAUAACCUUCAUUGUUUCAUGAGUUCAAUUCAUAGGUUAUGUUAUUUUUUAACCCAUUGUUAUUUUUGGUCUUUAUAAGUAUGAAGUUAUUUUGUUUUAUGUUAUGAAUUAGUGAUUACAAGUAGUUUUAAUACAUAAUUUAUAUAUAUGUUCAUUCGAAUGCGUGCAGUCAAGGCAUGAUUUCAAUUUUCUGAUGAAGGUUAGCUAAUCGAAUUUUUAUAGCGUUAAUUCCACCGUUUUCUUGUUAGUUUAAUUUUUAUCGUGUAUCUUAGUUUUUGUAUAUAUGUUUUAGUUUCAGUCGUAUUCAAUUUUACACUUGAAUUGAGAUUGUUUUGUUAAAUAGCUUCUAAGUUAUGACUUAGUGAUUAUAAGUAGUAUGUGUAUAUAAUUUAUUUAUUUUUUCUGUUCAGCUGUAUAUUUUUAUUGAAGUAUGAAUAUUCACUAUUUCAUGAGUUUGAUUGUUAUGUUAUGUUACUUUUAUCCCAUUGUUAUUUUUGAUUUAAUAAUUAUGAAGUAAAUAUUUUUUAUGUUAUGAACUAUUUAUGUUCAUUUGAAUAUGUUUAUUCAAGUUUGAAUAUUCAAUAAUUUAUGAGCUUGAUUGAUAUGUUAUUUUAUUCUUAAUCCAUUGUUAAUUUUUGUUACAUAUUUUAGAUAGUUGUUCCUCUGUAUUUUGUUAUUCAAUGUAGUACAUACUAAAGGUAGCGGAUGUGGUGGUCGGAGGAAGUCGACGAGGGAGAAAUUAGUUGAGCAAGCUUUGAAGCCCAAGAGAAGAUGCAAGAAGUGCAAUAAGUUGGUUAAUCACGACUCUAGGAACUGUCCAGGAAUUGACGCAGUAGAAGAAUGAACUACUAUGGGUUUUUUUUUGUUAUUUAGUUGUGGAAUCCAUCAUCCAAGUUUUAAUUUUCACAUCUAUUUAUCUCUCAUGAACAAUAUUUGGAAGUUUUAUUCAUUACCUUAGUUUGUUGUUUGAACUGUGUUGAACAUACCUUCUAUUCGUGACUGUAGUAAUUGAUGAACAAGAAAUUUUCAAUUAAUGAACAUGUUCUUUGUUCAUGUAUAUUUUCACAUGAAUAAACUCGAAUGCUGACAGGGCUUGUUCACAUGAAUUUUGUAACCUCAACGUAUGUUGUUCGCUCGAACAUAAAGUCACAUUCAUGCGUGUUGUUCAUUCAUGAUUAAAUUGUUCAUGUAUGUUGUUUGUGUGAAUAAAACAAAUGUAGAUUUAUAUAUUACAUUAGUUUGUGCUUUGAAAAAUUUUCACCUUACCUUUUAUCCAUGAUUGUAUUGAAUUAUGAAUAGACAUUUUCCAAUUAAUGAAUAUGUUUUUGGUUAUAAAUUCUGAACAUGGAACAUCAUUUAUAAAACAUUAAAAAAAGAGAAAAGGUGCAGAUUGGCCCCCGAAGUAGUAGCCCCUAUAGCGUAUAACCCCUCUUACUCAUUGUGUGUGCAACUAAACCCCUGAACUCCGAGAAAAUGGUGCAAAUUCCCCCCUCUAACCUAACGCCGUUAAGUGUCCGUUAACGUUUGGGUUUAAUUGCACCAUUUACUUCAGGGGUGGAUCAGCACCUUAUUUAUUUUUAUUUUUUUUAAUUUCAGCAACCCACCUUUGGCAUCAACUUAACCACCCCCGUAUGUUAGGUCUGGGGGGUCUCGAAUAGGUGUAUGGGGGGGGGAAUACACCUAUAGGCUAUUUUCACAACAAUCUACUGACCUCAAUCAGAGGGACCUCAGUCAGAGAUCAAAACGAAACUUUACAUGCAAACAAGGACUCCUGUUUUACUGAAAUCAGUUUUGACCAACAGGGUUGACGACUGAUACUGAAAGCUCUUCAGUAAUGAGUUAUUAGUUAAGUUGCUGGAACUUAACUGAUCCAAGUAAGGGCUUCAGUCGUGUUUGCUAAGAUAGAGAUGAUAUCACUCUUCCUUACUAUCAGAGGAUAGUUUAGUCAGAUUGAUAUCAUACGCAACGGAAAUUAAACUUCGUUUUGUAAUAGCCUCGGUGGAGCAGAUAGUUGGAUUAAGGUUUCUCUUUGCUGUUAGUCAGUGUUCAGUUUUAUCAAUAGAAAUAGCACAAGUAAGAAUGUAAAACUGAAAGCUGUAAAUAACACAGAGACUUUUACGUGGUUCGGAAAAACCCUUUCCUACAUCCACAACUGGUUGAUCAGACCAACGAUCCACUCCGCAAGUGCUUCACUGGUGCACUGCAAACCGUACCCGUGUGCUUGUCUGGUGCACACAAUCGUAAACUGAAGAAAACCCUUCUUCAACACCCACACACCUCGCGUAGGAUUUCCCUGCUAAGCACACCUCGUGCUCAAACUUUUCACUCAGAGUUCAGAGUACCUUCCUGAACUCCGAACCACUCAAACACUCUUAUGGGGGGAGGUUUGAACGAGUGCCAACUAUACUUACAAAGAACAAGUUCUUUGAAGCAAGUUUGACCUUUGGCUUCUGGGUAAACAGAUAUAUGCCUAGGGUCUAAGAGAAUGUAUGUAAUCAGCAGUGACUGAUUUUGGCUUUGGAAUUCUCUUCUUCGAUUCAAGCUUUGGGGCGGUUAAGCUUUAGGCUGAGUAGCAAUUUCGGCAGAGCUUCAGCUUAUGUCGUCGAAUCGGUGAAGGUUGAAGUGAUCCUCGAGCGCUAUUUGUAGGAGAACUCUUGAAUAGAUCCGUUGGCGUAAAUCGUCCUCAAGAUUUCUUCCGUUGGAGAGCAAUUCGAAUUUGGGCUGAGGCUUCAAUCUUCGAGGUUCCUUGUCUGUGUGGAAACGACUCUCUUUGAUGGACAGGAGAUGUGACAUCUCUGAAAAGUAACCACCAGAUAGGAAUGACCUCUGCAGAGAUAAGAUAUUCUGAGAUCUCUGCAUUUAAUGCGGCUGUACUUGUGCGUACGUGGCUUCCUCUGAACGUUGGAAGAUCAGUCCUAGGAGGAAUGUUCAACUGAUACUUGACUUUAGUAUCAGUCCUUUGCGCGCAUUAAAUAAUCAGUCUUCAACUGAUUCUUCAACUGAUACUUCAGUUGGUAUCUGCAGUCUUCAGUCUUCAGUCUUCGUUCUUCAGUCUUCAGUCUUCGACACCGCAACUAAACUAGAAACGAACUCUAACACUUGAGUUCAAAACGAUUCUAGUCUAUUACAUAUAAGUCCUAUGAAUUUUGGUAUCAUCAAAACAAGGGUUAGGAUAUUCCACAAGGUUCCCAACACAUACUCAUCGAUUCUAACUUGCACCUUGUUAGCUCUCACGCGCCCAAUCUCUUGGUUGUCGACUGCCCACCGCUUACAUGUAGCAACGGCCACCAGAUCUUCACCGCCCCCGCACAACAUCAUCUCCUCCAACACCUUAACCUUUUAGGCUUAUCUUAUGAUAUUAAUUGUGUAUAUAUUUAUCUAUAUAAUAUAUAUUUAAAUUUUAUUUAUUUAUUUUUGAAUAAUUAUUAAAAACUCUAGAUAAUAAUUAUGAUUUUAUUUUUGGUUAAUUUAAUAUUUAUAAAUUUAUUUUAAAAAAGAAAAAAGAAUGGAUCCGGGUCAGGACUCGAGACCCUGUGAAUCUAAUGGAUCNCCAUCCCACCACAGAUAGGUUACCUCUCCAAUCUAACUCAUCUCGAUAUGUCAGACAAUAGACUCUACGGUGAUCUGCCUCUCUCACUUUCAAAUCUCACUAGCUUACAUGUGCUUGACCUUUCUUUCAACAACAUUGUCGGUGCCAUUCCGCCUGAGAUAGGAAGCUUAUCCAAACUAACUCAUCUCGAUUUGUCACACAAUAUACUCAACAGUGAUCUGCCUCUCUCACUUGCAAAUCUCACUAACUUACAGCUGCUUGACCUUUCUCAAAACAGAAUUUUCGAUGGCAUUCCGUCGGGAAUAGGUUACCUCCAGCAAUUGAUUGUUCUUGAUUUGAGCGGCAACAGCAUCAGUGGCUCUCUGCCCUCAACUAUGAUCCAAUUAACAAGAUUGGAAUUCUUGAAAUUGGACUCCAAUAUGUUGGUAGGUGUUUUUGAGGCAGGAAUACAAAUGCUUCCUUCAAUUAAAACAAUAGGCCUCAGUGGGAAUUCAAUCAAAGGAAGGAUACCUUUUGAAUUUGGAGAUGCUGCUAAUGCACAGUUCUUGAAUAUCGAUCUGUCUUAUAACCAUCUUUGUGGUAGAGUUCCCGAAUCUCUUUCGCAUUUGGAUGGAAUCGAUCUGUCCUACAAUCGUUUAGAAGGUCGAAUUCCACUAGACAUCUGGCUUAAAUUUUCAAGGGAAUCGUUCUUCGGAAAUUCAGAGUUACUUCUGCCAAAUGGAUCCAGGAUUGAGAUGGAGGAAACGAAACAUCCUCGAAUGCGGAUAAGUUAUGCUGUUAUUGGUGUGGUGAUUGGAUGUGUGUUUUUGUUUUCAUCAGGUUUGAUUCUAACCUUUUACUUAAGAAGGAAAGCAGCCUCUGCAGCCACACCUCAUGAUGACCAGAGACAUGGAGACAUAUUCAAGAUAUGGAACUUCGAUGGAAACAUCGCCCAUCAACACAUCAUCCAAGCAACAGCAGACUUCGAUUUCGGGUACUGCAUUGGAACUGGAGCUUACGGGAGCGUCUACAGAGCUCA
rnacentral:lncRNA from 1 species